AGUUCCUUCUUAGGUAUGGGGAUCUCCACAGUUUUGUUUCAGUGGCCACAGCUUGGGAAACAGACUUCUCCCAAUAUCAAAGGGAAUCAAGUCCCCCUUUUUUCCUCCAGGCCUCGGUCUGCAGCAUCUGUGAUGCACUGCAAUUGAGCCAUCCAAGGAUACAAUCAUAGCAAUCAAAAAGAGUGACUGGAGGAAGAAGGAAAUGAACAUAGAAGAGGAAAAAAAAGAAAUCUUGAUUUUCCCUCAUGCUAUAGAAGGGAAUGGUGCUGUUAUAUUUUUGGCCUAUCCAGAAAACCAAUUAUGAAAAUAAACAUAAAUGGUUUUCUGCCUCAUGGUUUAGAAGCACCUCUGUGUAUUUGCUCACUGAAUUGUUGUGAUGUUUUGCUCUCCAUGAUUUGGAAGCCAAACCAAUAAAGCA
rnacentral:lncRNA from 1 species